CUAUUUGGGGUAAGUUCCUUGGAAGAGGACAGCAUCGAGGGUGAUACUCCCGUUUGUACCCGAGUAGCUUGUGCGUACGACACGUUUUCUUUGAGUCGCGUUGUUUGGGAAUGCAGCGCAAAGUAGGUGGUAAAUUCCAUCUAAAGCUAAAUAUUGGUGCGAGACCGAUAGCGAACAAGUACCGUGAGGGAAAGAUGAAAAGAACUUUGAAAAGAGAGUUAAAGAGUACCUGAAACUGCUGAAAGGGAAUCGAAUCGUUUCCAGUGUCUAUAAUCCAAUGCAUAUUUCAUUGUGGACUUGUUGCGUGCAGUGCGUAGGAAGUAGUUUAUUCUGCUCCUUGUAUUGUUGUGCGAUGUGUUGAUGGUGCCCUGUGUGUUGGUGGGACGUCAGAGUCAGUUCGUAUGCUGCGGGAAAUGGCUGUCGAGGAGGUAGGCUGAGCGCUUGCGUUUAGCUGUUAUAUCUUGGCGUGCUAGUGGUCGUGGUUGGGACUGAGGUGCCUACAACGUGCUUUAAAGUCUUGUGGGGUCUCAUGUGAUAACGUGCUAGGAUAGCUUGCUAUGUUGGUGUGUUUAUUGUGUGAUUGAUGCUGUUUGUAACUUUUGCCGUUCGGGACUUUGACGAAAUGGAGCGAUUCGGCCCGUCUUGAAACACGGACCAAGGAGUCUAACAUGUGUGCAAGUGUUAGGGUGUGGAAACCCCAGCGCGAAAUGAAAGUAAAGGGUAGCGUUCGCUGCCUGAGGUAGGAAACCUUUGUUCUCAGAGGUGGCACUAUCGACCGAUCAUGAACCUUCGUGGUGAAAGAUUUGAGUAUGAGCACAUAUGUUGGUACCCGAAAGAUGGUGAACUAUGCCUGAGUAGGGUGAAGCCAGGGGAAACUCUGGUGGAAGCUCGUAGCGAUUCUGACGUGCAAAUCGAUCGUCAAACUUGGGUAUAGGGGCGAAAGACUAAUCGAACCAUCUAGUAGCUGGUUCCCUCCGAAAUUUCCCUCAGGAUAGCAGCAACUUAUUUACGAUAGUUUUAUGAGGUAAAGCGAAUGAUUAGAGGACUCGGGGAAGAAACUUCCUU
rnacentral:rRNA from 1 species